GUUGAUCCUGCUAGUAACAUAUGCUUAUCUCGGAGAUUAAGCCAUGCAUGUCUAAGUAUAAGUUAUAUAUGGCGAAACUGCGAAUGGCUCAUUAAAUCAGUUAUAAUCUAUUUGAUAAUGUUUUUAUACGGAUAACCGUGGGAAACCAGAGCUAAUACGUGCACUAAAGGCCGGAAGGCUGUAUUUAUUAGUUAUAAACCAAUGGCUUCGGCCUUUGUGAUGAUUCAUAAUAACUGAUCGAAGCGAACUGGUGUUCGCUAAAUCUUUCUAGUUUCUGCCCUAUCAGCUUUCGAUGGUAGUGUAUUGGACUACCAUGGCUAUCACGGGUAACGGAGAAUUAGGGUUCGAUUCCGGAGAGGGAGCCUGAGAAACGGCUACCACAUCCACGGUAGGCAGCAGGCGCGUAAAUUACCCAAUCCUGACUCAGGGAGGUAGUCACGAGAAAUCUUAGAUCGGCCCAAGUUGGCUGAAUACAUGAUGGAUUAAAUAUAGACCAUUUUUUGAAAUCAAUUGGAGGGCAAGUCUCGGUGCCAGCAGCCGCGGUAACUCCAGCUCCAAUAGUGUAUAUUAACGUUGCUGCAGUUAAAAAGCUCGUAGUUGAAUUUCUGGGGGGCUGUCUUUCCUAAGGGAUCGUACGGCUACCUCAUCCGCGCCGGAAGGCACUACAGUCUUACUUAGUGUUGGAUGCGUGUUUUACUUUGAAGAAAUUAGAGUGUUCCAGGCAGGCUUUGCUUGAAUACAUCAGCAUGGAAUAAUGGAAUAGGACAGGUCAUUUUUAUUGGUUAUAUGACUUGUAAUGAUUAACAGGGACAGUUGGGGGCGUUUGUAUUCAAUAGUCAGAGGUGAAAUUCUUGGAUUUGUUGAAGACAAACUAAUGCGAAAGCAUUCGCCAAGGAUGUUUUCAUUAAUCAAGAACGAAAGUUAGGGGAUCAAAGACGAUUAGAUACCGUCGUAGUCCUAACCAUAAACUAUACCGACUAGGGAUUGGCAAGGGGAGUGACUCUUGUCAGCACCUAAUGAGAAAUCAAAGUCUUUGGGUUCUGGGGGGAGUAUGGUCGCAAGGCUGAAACUUAAAGGAAUUGACGGAAGGGCACCACCAGGAGUGGAGCCUGCGGCUUAAUUUGACUCAACACGGGGAAACUUACCAGGGCAAGACCUGAGUAUGAUUGACAGAUUGAUAGCUUUUUCUUGAUAACGGGGAUGGUGGUGCAUGGCCGUUCUUAGUUGGUGGAGUGAUUUGUCCGGUUAAUUCCCUUAACAAACGAGACCUUAACCUGCUAAACUAGGAGCCGUUAUUUCUAGCGGUAUCCUUCUUAGAGGGACUAUGUGAUUUAAACACAUGGAAGUUUGAGGCAAUAACAGGUCCGUGAUGCCCUUAGAAGUCCUGGGCCGCACGCGUGCUACACUGAUGAGCGCAACAAGUACUACCUGACUCGAAAGAGGAAUGGGAAAUCUUUGCAAUACUCAUCGUGCUAGGGAUUGAUCUUUGCAAUUUUGGAUCAUGAACGAGGAAUUCCUAGUAAGCAUAAGUCAUCAUCUUGUGCUGAUUACGUCCCUGCCCUUUGUACACACCGCCCGUCGCUCCUACCGAUUGAGUGAUCCAAUGAACUUUCUGGACAAUUGACAUCCGUCGUAUUGGAAGUUAAGCAAAUUUUAUCACUUAGAGGAAGGAGAAGUCGUAACAAGGUU
rnacentral:rRNA from 1 species